rnacentral:rRNA from 1 species
AGGAAGAACCAAGUGCUAGAUGAAUAUUUCUGUCCCCUUGGGGGUACUUUUCCAGAAACACGUGUUAAAUUGUUUUCCACACAACCGCGGAAAUGGGUGGGGCGCAAGCGUUUUCCGGAAAUAUUGGGUGUAAGGUCGCGCGCAGGUGGUUUUAAAUGUGUGAUGUGAAAGCACACGGCUCAACUGUGGAGGCUCAUUGGAAACUGGGAGCCUGGUGUGCAGAAGAGGAAGGUGGAAUUCCAUGUGUAGCGGUGAAAUGCGUAGAGGUAUGGAGGAACCCAUGUGGCGAAGGCGUCUUUAUUGUCUGAAAGUGACAGUGACGCGCGAAAGUGUGGGGAGCACACAGGGUUGGAUACCUUGGUUGUCCACGCCGUAAACGAAGAGUUGUAAGUGUUAGAGGGUUUCCACCCUUUAGUGGCGAAGUUAACGCAUUAAGCUCUCCGCGUGGGGAGUUCGGCCGCAAGGGUGAAACUCAAAGGAAUUGACGGGGGCCCGCACAAGCGGUGGCACAUGUUGUUUAAUUCGAAGCAGCGCGAAGCACCUUACCAGGUCGUGACAUCCUCUGAAAACCCUAGAGAUAGGGCUUCUCCUUCGGGAGCAGAGUGACAGGUGGUGCAUGGUUGUCGUCAGCUCGUGUCGUGAGAUGUUGGGUUAAGUCCCGCAACGAGCGCAACCCUUGAUCUUAGUUGCCAUCAUUAAGUUGGGCACUCUAAGGUGACUGCCGGUGACAAACGCGGAGGAAGGUGGGGAUGACGUCAAAUCAUCAUGCCCCUUUGACCGGGCUA